AUUUUAGGGUUGGCAGUGGAGGCAUGGGUAUCAUGAUGGAGAUUCCUGCAUAGCUGCGGCUUUCUGAAGGCUGAGAACCAGAACCACCUUCGCACGCUGUAUAUGAGAAGAUCUGCAUCAGCCUGUGAAUACUGUGAUUUGGGAAGAGACCAGGAAAGUAAAGAGUCAAGAUGAAUCCUCUUUUCCGAAGCUCACCUGAAAUUAAAUCACUUCCUGCAAUGGAGAAGUUCAGCUCCGGAAGGCCUUUAAAGGAUGGGAUGUAACAUGGAGCCGAGCAGUUGGCAAACACUGAUUUUAAGUGCAUUUGUACUUUGCUGACUGAUCCCGGAAUGGUCAAAGGAAGCAGCAUAAGACAAUGACUGACCUUCAAAUACAGGGUGGGAAUAUGCAGGCUGACUCUCAACAAGAAAACCCACCUAAAAGGGUAUAAUCAGACUUCCCCACAGGAGAUCUUUUCCUACAUUGCUGUUUAAUCCCUCCUACCAUACAGCCGUGUGCUCUUUUAAAACAGAUCGAUUGCGCAUUAGAAACAAACCAAAACGGACCAAAUAAACAACGAAAAAUACAAGAGGAUAUUAUGGUUUUGUCUGUAACAUGAAAUCAGCUGGAGUGGAAGAGGGGAUCGGAAGCACUCAGCUGGCCUACAAAAUCCUUAAGCUCUCUGGUUGCAGGCAAUAGAUGCAGUACAGCUAUGGGUGAACUCUGCAUGCUGAGUGUCCUACCAUGUGCAGCUGGCCCUGCCGGAACCUUCUCAUUGCAUUGACGUUGCUUGGAUCAUAACAGCACAUCAAGGGCAUGAGGACCGAAGGCUGCAUGUGAGCAGAGAGGGAUGUGAUCCCCUCCCCCAGGGUUUUGCUAUCAAAUCCAACAGGGCAGGUGAUGGUGGGAAGGUGGAUAUAGCUGAGGUCUGGACAGAGAGAAUCAUAGAUUGGAGUGGAAUGGCAUGGCAUGGCAUGGGCAGGUGAAUCAUUCCCAUGAAAGAGUUUUGCAGAAGAGUUGAGAAACGAACCCCAAUUUACCUCAAUUUACUUCAGAUUUACCCCAAACCACAAGGCCACAAUCAUCCAGGAGACGUCAUUUCCUCCAAGGUCAGGAGUGACCAACCCUUUCAAACACUUAGAACACUGGACCCUAACCCGUAGCCCCUCUAGGUCCCUUAGAGUUUAAUUUUCACCCCGACUUCCAAGUGAGGAGGAGGACUGUGGCAGGAGGAGCUUGUGGGCUGGGCCUCUCUCAAAUCUCUUUUAUCAAUUGCAUUCACCUCUGACAUAAAAAUGAUAAGGCAGUGAACAAUUAAAAAUUAAAUCUCAGGCUUGUCACUGCAGGAUCAGACAGAAACACUGCCUAACUUUACUCACUGUGGUUUAUAGCUUUUUUUUCUUGUUGUCUCCCUGCAAGCAGGUCCCUGGGCUAUUUGAUUUAUACUUUGCCAUCUGAAAUGCAUAAAAGAUGAGGCACUUUCGCUCCCCCAUGAAUCUUCUGCAUUUUUGUUCAAAAUUUUACUGAAGGUGACAUGACAAAUUACUGCCAGAGUCAAUUUGUGCUGGAGGAGGGCAUCAUUAAAAAAAAAACACAGAAGAAUAGGGACAAAAAAAAAAAAAGGUAAAGGGAGAAUGGGGGAAAAAAUGAGCUUGUGACCCCUUUGAAUAUGUCGUGCUCCAAAGCAGCACUACCAGAAUGAGACUGGCAGACUAAUUAUCCACACGGCAGAUUCAUGGAUUCAGGAGAAAGGGAGAACUCAAAAGCUCAUUUGACCCAUUCAUUAGGGCUACUCUCUCUUCUUGUCACCUGCUUUGGAGGGGGCAUGGGGGAAGAAUGAGGCAGGACACUUCACAGCAUCGCUCAGCACUCAUCCUCUCCAACCUUUUCGUGUCCCCAUCGCGGUGUCUGUGCCCCAAUCCCAUCUUCUGGCAAUCUCUUCUCAUCAUCCCAUUUGACUCCAACUCCCAACUUAACAAGCAGGUAAGAGACC